rnacentral:rRNA from 1 species
UACGUAGGAUGCGAGCGUUGUCCGGAUUUAUUGGGCGUAAAGAGCGCGCAGGCGGUUAGGAAAGUUGGAUGUGAAAGACCCUGGCUUAACUAGGGGAGGUCAUUCAAAACUAUCUAGCUUGAGGGCAGCAGAGGAAAGUGGAAUUCCCGGUGUAGUGGUGAAAUGCGUAGAUAUCGGGAGGAACACCAGUGGCGAAGGCGGCUUUCUGGGCUGUCACUGACGCUGAGGCGCGAAAGCGUGGGUAGCGAACCGAAUUAGAUACUCGGGUAGUCCACGCCGUAAACGAUGGACACUAGGGGUAGGGGGUAUCGACCCCCCCUGUGCCGAAGCUAACGCAUUAAGUGUCCCGCCUGGGGAGUACGGCCGCAAGGCUAAAACUCAAAGGAAUUGACGGGGGCCCGCACAAGCAGCGGAGCGUGUGGUUUAAUUCGACGCAACGCGAAGAACCUUACCAGGACUUGACAUAGCAGUGGUAGGAACCUGAAAGGGAGACGACCCCGCAAGGGGAGCUGUUACAGGUGCUGCAUGGCU